UGCCCCGUGGUGCAGAGGCAGCACGCCGCGUUUUGGCCGCGGAGACCGAGGUUCGAACCCUCGCGGGGCAUCCA
rnacentral:tRNA from 1 species